UAACUUGAAUACAUUCAGAAUCACCUCCUCUCCCCAAAAUGCGUAGAAAUAGUUUUUGAGGAAACCAAAAGCAAAGCAGAAACCUUUACAGUAUUGUUUCUUUUCUCUUUGUUAACUAUGUCAUUGCAUCAAAAUACUAACAGUCUGCCUAAACAUGUUCAUUGUACAUUUCUCAGGCUAUCAAUGAAUGGAGCUUUUUAAAAAGUUGAAUAUUUGUCUGAACAUUUUAUUUCAAAGUUCAAAAAAACAGAGGCUGCAAAAUUCAUUUUAUAAUGGCUAUUUUGUGAUGAUAAGACGUAGUUCACGUUUUUCUGUAGCACUGGGCCCAAAUAUUCUUUGUAAAGAAAAUCACUGCAGCAAAAAUUGUUACUGUGUUUAUUAUGUUUGUAGAAGUAUUAGAAAAAUAUUCUAUUUUUUAUUCAGUGCUACAUAAUUACCCAUGGUAGCCAACCCGACAAAAGACAGGUUUUCACAAAUUGAGGUGGAGGUGGGCAGUUCAGUAUCUGCCAUUGGACUUGAUUAUAAACUGUAUUUGAAUAUCAGUGGUGUUAUCUUUUAAGUUGUCAGCAAGUUACCAAGUAUUCAUUAAAGAAAUUGUGAUAUCAAAUUACUGUUUAUUCAUAACAAUUGAUUUGAUGCUAAUAAUAAUUUUCUUUAAACUCUACCAUUCAUUAUGUGGUAACUGUAUUGGACUUACUUUAUUUGGAUUUUAUUUUAAUGUGACUAGAUGUCACCACUUGAAAAAAUCAAUUUGUUCUUAGAACCUGGUUGAAAACACCAGGAGACUGUUACAGAUGUCAAAUUUUUUUUUUUUUUUGAGACGGAGUCUCUCUCUGUCGCCCAGGCUGGAGUGCAGUGGCGUGAUCUUGGCUCACUGCAAGCUCUGACUCCUGGGUUCACGCCAUUCUGCCACCUCAGCUUCCCAAGUAGCUGGGACUACAAGUGUCUGCCACCAUGCCUGGCUAAUUUUGUUUUCGUAUUUUUAGUAGAGACGGGGUUUCACCGUGUUAGCCAGGAAGGUCUCAAUCUCCUGACAUCGUGAUCCGCCCACCUCGGUCUCCCAAAGUGCUGGGAUUACAGGCGUGAGCCACCGUGCCCGGCCCAAGUAUUUUUUAUUCAGGACGGCAUAACGUAACUGAUAAUAUGUAAUAAAGUUAAAUUUUUUUAUGAUGUGUUUUAUUUACAAAAUAUACACUGCUGGUGUUACCAUAUGAAAGGAAAUAAAGUCAAUUGAUAAUUGCU
rnacentral:lncRNA from 1 species